rnacentral:rRNA from 1 species
CUACGGGAUGCAGCAGUGGGGAAUAUUGCACAAUGGGCGCAAGCCUGAUGCAGCCGUGCCGCGUGUAUGAAGAAGGCCUUCGGGUUGUAAAGUACUUUCAGCGGGGAGGAAGAGAGUAAAGUUAAUACCUUUGCUCAUUGACGUUACCCGCAGAAGAAGCACCGGCUAACUCCGUGCCAGCAGCCGCGGUAAUACGGAGGGUGCAAGCGUUAAUCGGAAUUACUGGGCGUAAAGCGCACGCAGGCGGUUUGUUAAGUCAGAUGUGAAAUCCCCGGGCUCAACCUGGGAACUGCAUCUGAUACUGGCAAGCUUGAGUCUCGUAGAGGGGGGUAGAAUUCCAGGUGUAGCGGUGAAAUGCGUAGAGAUCUGGAGGAAUACCGGUGGCGAAGGCGGCCCCCUGGACGAAGACUGACGCUCAGGUGCGAAAGCGUGGGGAGCAAACAGGAUUAGAUACCCUAGUAGUC